UGUAUGGUCUGGGUCUCCGACAAGCAU
rnacentral:piRNA from 1 species